AUUGAACGCUGGCGGCAGGCUUAACACAUGCAAGUCGAACGAGUGGCGAACGGUUGAUUAACGCAUCGGAACGUACCGAGGAAUGGGGGAUAACUGUCCGAAAGGACAGCUAAUACCGCAUAUUUUUGGUGCGGCCGAGGUGGGAUUAGCUGGUUGGGGGGGUAAAGGCCCACCAAGGCGACGAUCAGUAGCGGGUCUGAGAGGAUGAUCCGCCACACUGGGACUGAGACACGGCCCAGACUCCUACGGGAGGCAGCAGUGGGGAAUUUUGGACAAUGGGCGCAAGCCUGAUCCAGCCAUGCCGCGUGUCUGAAGAAGGCCUUCGGGUUGUAAAGGACUUUUGUCAGGGAAGCGGUACCUGAAGAAUAAGCACCGGCUAACUACGUGCCAGCAGCCGCGGUAAUAC
rnacentral:rRNA from 1 species